rnacentral:rRNA from 1 species
GCUUAACACAUGCAAGUCGAGCGGGCGUAGCAAUACGUCAGCGGCAGACGGGUGAGUAACGCGUGGGAACAUACCUUUUGGUUCGGAACAACACAGGGAAACUUGUGCUAAUACCGGAUAAGCCCUUACGGGGAAAGAUUUAUCGCCUUUGGAGCGGCCCGCGUCUGAUUAGCUUGUUGGUGAGGUAAUGGCUCACCAAGGCUACGAUCAGUAGCUGGUCUGAGAGGAUGGCCAGCCACACUGGGACUGAGACACGGCCCAGACUCCUACGGGAGGCAGCAGUGGGGAAUCUUGCGUAAUGGGCGAAAGCCUGACGCAGCCAUGCCGCGUGGAUGAUGAAGGUCUUAGGAUUGUAAAAUCCUUUCACCGGGGACGACAAUGACGGUACCCGGAGAAGAAGCCCCGGCUAACUUCGUGCCAGCCGCCGCGGUAAUUC